UUUUUGCACCCGUAUCCUAUCCUUUUAAAUUGGUUUCAAUCAAAUGAAAUUGUCAAUGUAUCCCACAAAAUCAGGGAUUAUGUGUAACUGACGUUGAUAUGAGGAACCAAAUCACGAAUUUCAUUUCCUUUUCUUCUUCCGAUUUCCUAUGUUGUAGCUUUAAUUUGACUCUUCAAUGCUGAAAAGAAAGAAGUAAAACAUCGACCUUGUGUUCUGGUUUAUGUGUGUGUGCUACAGAUGUGAUGGAAGUAGACACCGUCUAGAAAUCUUGUGAUUAUGAUGCUUUGCUUUUGGAUAGGUUCCUUGAUAUUUUUCAGGAUUUACAUGGAGAGGGUUUCAAUCUUUUUCCCACAACCAAAACUAAUUAAACAAAUCUUUGUGCCAGAAGAUAUCAAACAUGAAACCACUAUAGGUGCUCGAUGUAAUGUCCAUAUUAUCUUUUUUUUCCUGAUCGAAGAGAUAAAUGUGAGAGAGCAGAUGAUAGUAGUCUUUCGUGGCUGAGGAGGGAAGGAUCCUAUAGUAACUUCUCUUCGGUGCCCUUAAUCAAAAGAUCUGAACACCAAAGACUAUUUUUGAUAAAUGCGAAGUUGUAAAUCUGAAUUAUGUCUUCACUCAUUCCAUUGUUUGAUUUCAUAUGGUUUCAAUAUAAAUAUUAUUUAUAUGAGCAUAACUUAGGGUCUUUGGUUUUCUUCUUUUAGGUUGAUGGAGAUGGAGGGGGAACUGCUGCAGGAGAAGAGGUUCAAUAAGAUCUACAAAUCUUCGAUAAUUUAUCUAUCUGUAUGAAGUCAUUGGAGUUCAAAGAAGCCUGGGAAUGCAUAUAUAAAAGGAAAUCGGCAAUAAAGUAUACCUAAAAGACAUUGAAGUUAUUGCUGAUGAUUCGCAUCUCAAACUACGAGUGUUAAAGAUUUGGAAUUUUAUAAAAAAUAACCAGGUUUUAGCAAUUGAAAUGAUCGUCAUGGACGAGGAGGGUACAAAAUACCAAUCUCGUGUUUUCAACCAAAAUUUUUCCAAAUUUCGUGACCUUUUAAAGGAAGAUGUUAUUGGGCAAAUUGUCUCAUUCAGGCCACUUGAGACAAGAAAUCCUAAUCCAUCAAGGCAUUACAUAAAGAUGACUAUUAGCAACUUACAGUCUGUACACCUCAAUGUCACUGUAUUUGGAAGUCACCAAUAAAACUUCCAAUGUUGUUUAUAAGGAAGUUUUUCGUAAUUUAUAAGCAACUUCUUUGUAGCAUCUUUUACUCAUUUUUACUAAAGCACAUUUCAUCCAUCAUAAUAAUUUAUUUAUUUAUAAUUAUUUAUUGUAUUUUUUUAGUUUAA